rnacentral:rRNA from 1 species
AACGAACGCUGGCGGCAUGCCUAACACAUGCAAGUCGAACGAGACCUUCGGGUCUAGUGGCGCACGGGUGCGUAACGCGUGGGAACCUGCCCUUAGGUUCGGAAUAACUCCCCGAAAGGGGUGCUAAUACCGGAUAAUGUCUUCGGACCAAAGAUUUAUCGCCUUUGGAUGGGCCCGCGUUGGAUUAGCUAGUUGGUAGGGUAAAAGCCUACCAAGGCGACGAUCCAUAGCUGGUCUGAGAGGAUGAUCAGCCACACUGGGACUGAGACACGGCCCAGACUCCUGCGGGAGGCAGCAAUGGGGAAUAUUGGACAAUGGGCGAAAGCCUGAUCCAGCAAUGCCGCGUGAGUGAUGAAGGCCUUAGGGUUGUAAAGCUCUUUUACCCGGGAUGAUAAUGACAGUACCGGGAGAAUAAGCACCGGCUAACUCCGUG